GUGAGCGAACCGUGUGGGACAGAGUGAAGGCAAAGACGCUCAAGAGGGGUCCAUGAAGUGAAUGCAGCAUUUCCCUCCCCUGUGAGAUACAGGGACGUGCCCACUGAGGAACCGGAGAGCUGGCAGAGGGCUCUGAGAGUGGCUUAAGUGUGUGCUCAGUCACUUCAGUCACGUCCGACUCUGCGAUCCCAUGGACUGCAGCCCUCCAGGCUCCUCUGUCCAUGGGAUGGGUUGCCAUGCCCUCCACCAGGGGAUCUUCCUGACGCAGAUAUCGAACCCACGUCUCUUGUGUCUCCUGCAUUGGCAGGAAUGAGAGUAACUUGACCAGGUUUGGAGAGCAUUUGAGGGAUAUUGUGAUUAAAUUGACUUUGGGGACACCCAGCUGCAAGUCAAGACAUGGAGUCCAAAGCAGUGACAACUGCCACAAGAAUCAAAUGGAAAGAGACACACCCUCCAAAGAUGCCAGGGACGAAGACAACAUUCUGUACAGAUAAAUACAAGCCUGAAUCUGCAGUCACUGGGGGCAGCCUCUGUUAGUGGCCCCUAAUGUUCUACUGAGCUGCCUCUCAAAUCUGCGACCUCAGGUAGAACAGCAUUUCUGUUGAGUACUAGCGGGAAUUAACUUAUUUGACAAGAGUUAACAAGACUCUCCCGGCCGCUGCCCCUGACCUCGGACUCGGGGUAGCUCCUCUUGGCCGUUCCUGUGCCGUCGCAGUCUGGUACUCUCGGCUGCCGCCCCUGACCUCGGACGUGGGGUAACUCCUCUUGGCCGCCGCCCUUCGGGCAUGGGGUCCUCCCGGCUUCUGCCCCUGACCUCGGACGUGGGGUGGCUCCUCUCGGCUGCGCUUUGGGGCGCCCGCCGCAGCUGCAGCCAGGGGCAGCGGGCGGGAGGAGCUACCCCACGCCCCUAAGCCUGAGGCCAGGGGCGGCAGCCAGGAGGAGCAACCCUACGCCCGAGGCCAGGGGCGGUGGCCGGGAGGACCAACCCCACAUCCAAGGAGCCCUGGCUGCGCAGGCGCAGGAGGGCCUAGAGGAGCUAUCCCACAUUGAAUGCCAGAAGGGCGGCGGUGAGGAGAUACCCCUCGUCCAAGGUAAGGAGCAAUGGCUGCGCUUUGCUGGAACAGCGGUGAAGAGAUACCCCACGCCCAAGAUGUGACAGUUGGACCAUAAAGAAGGCUGAGCACCAAAAAAUUAAUGUUUUCAAAUUGUGGUGCUGGAGAAGAUUCUUAAGAGUCCCUUGGACUGCAAAGGAGAUCAAACCAGUCCAUCCUAAAGGGAAUCAACUCUGAAUAUUCACUGGAAUGACUGAUGCUGAAACUCCCAUACUUUGGUUACCUGAUGGGAAGAGCUGACUCAUUGGAAAAGACCCUGAUGCUGCAAAAGAUUGAAGGCAGGAGAAGGGGAUGACAGAGGAUGAGACAGUUGGAUGACAUCACUAACUCGGGAGAUAGUGAAGGACAGGGAAGCGUGGAGUGCUGCAGUCCAUGGGGUUAGCAGAGAGUCAGACAAGACUGAGUGACUGAACAACAAGAACUAACUCUUAAGACAUAUCAUGCUUCCCCACCAAUCUCUGCAAGUAAAGAAGACAGGGAAUGUCAUUUCCCCAUACGAAUUCUAUAAGCAUCUUCAAGAAGCAGAAUUAUCCCCAGCUAGGGUAUUUUGUUCUAAUUUCUUUUUUUUUAAUUUACUCCAUUUUACUUAUAAUUGCAUUUCAACUUAAUACUCUUGGGUCACUACAUUCAUUCCUCGUAUCAAAAAUAGUAUUCCAAACCUGGUUAACAAAGCAUGCUUUUAAGACUUUCAGAAUACAACUUUCAGGAUGAUUAAAUUUGUGUACAUUUAUUCUUUUUUAAUAUUUACUUAAUAUUGGCGUGUAUUUGAUUUAUAGUGUUGUGUUAGUUUCAGGUGUACAGU
ensembl:lncRNA